rnacentral:rRNA from 1 species
CUACGUGCCAGCAGCCGCGGUAAUACGGAAGGUCCGGGCGUUAUCCGGAAUUAUUGGGUUUAAAGGGAGCGCAGGCGGGAGUGUAAGUCAGCUGUUAAAUAUCAGGGCCCAACUCUGUUAUGCAGUUGAAACUAUAUUUCUUGAGUACGCACAGGGAUGGCGGAAUUCAGGGUGUAGCGGUGAAAUGCUUAGAUAUCCUGAAGAACUCCGAUCGCGAAGGCAGCCAUCCGGAGCGUAACUGACGCUGAGGCUCGAAGGUGCGGGUAUCGAACAGGAUUAGAUACCCUGGUAGUCCGCACGGUAAACGAUGAAUACUCGCAGUUCGGCCUUUUAGGUCGAGUUGUCCAGCGAAAGCGUUAAGUAUUCCACCUGGGGAGUACGCCGGCAACGGUGAAACUCAAAGGAAUUGACGGGGGCCCGCACAAGCGGAGGAACAUGUGGUUUAAUUCGAUGAUACGCGAGGAACCUUACCCGGGCU